ACAAAACAAAAAAAACAGCUUUUUAAUUUAAUUUCUUCAUUUAUCAUUAUGUACUGUAGAAAACAAAGUGUCAUGGUGUCAUUUUUUUUCCUUUGUUAAAAUACUUUCUCCUAUCCACCUUAUUUUCCAAUGCAGAAGUAAGGUGUUUUCUGUGAAUGCGCGAGACUUUCAAUUUAUUAGCAGCUAUAGGGAAAUAACAAGAAGAAUAUCAAAGUGCCGUAAACUGUAUUCAACAAUCUCUUCUCUUCCAUGUCAGUGUCCUACGCAGUUGACGAAGUGAACGCAAUGCAGCGCUUCUGUGUUUACGUCAGAACGCCGGCUCAGUAUUGGCCGAUGCUGUACACGUGAGCAGCACGACACAUGCAUGUGAUGCUGACGCAGGAGCCGGCCAAUAAUGAGACGCCAUUCUAACGUAGAACCUGGAAGCGCUGGACUGUGUCUACAAUGUAAACAGCGUAGGAGAAUGACAGGGAAGAGAAGAAAUUGUUGAAUAAAGUCGUUAUUUUUGUUCUGUUUUUGCGUACAAAAAAUAUUCUCGUCACUUCAUAAAAUUAAGGUUGAACCACUGUAGUCACGUGGACUAUUUUAAGGAUGUCUUUAGUACUUUUCUGGGCCUUGACAGUGGUAAUUAAAUUGCUGUGUCUAUGGAGGAGUCAUAUACCUCUCGGAUUUCAUCAAAAAUAUCUUAAUUUGUGUUUAACUCCACGUUCUGUGGAGUACCGCCUCUUUUGGGGCGAUUUCACUCUGACCGAGAAUCUCCUAGAGUGAUCACAUAGACUUCCAUUCAAAGAACUUUUUUUUUUUUUCGAACUGCACGCACUGCAAUGCAAUCUCUCUGGGUUCCGGGAGGGCUAGCACUAACGUGCUUUCGUCAUCAUACAGUACGUAACCUUAACUUGUGCAGCGAUUGGUGGAAACAAACAUACCUCUAUUAAUAAUUUUUAAGCUAAAGUGACAUCCAAUAAUUUCAUCAGUGCAUAACUUACAUUUCACAGACAUAUUCUCCAUCUGUAAAUGUUAGAAAGUCGAGAAAAUAUUUCCAUUUUGCUGUUAGUAGUGAAAGCACAAACUUCCGUGAACAAGCGCCGCCACGCGCACGCGCGCCAAAUAGACGGAGCGCAAUUGAAUAUGAGCGAAUGUGAAUAUGAAAUAUGAAUAUUGUUUUUGUCGGGCAACAUAAAUGUGUCAUAUGUAGAAUUUCAAACCUACAACUAAGUGUAUUUUUAUGAUAGCAGUAACUGUAAAGUGACUGUUGUAGGGUAAUCAAAAUAACCUAAUAAUUAGUCUGUGCUUUUGUUUUUAUUUAUUUUCAUUUUCGGUUGUGUAUUUAACUUCUGCUUUAAAUUACAUUUUGUUUUUAGAUUGUAAUGUUACAAUGUUAGAAUGUAGGCCUAAUGUGAUUUGACCCCUUUUUUGCACAUAAUAGCCUACACAGUUACAUUCUAGUGUUUGUUUUCAAAGCCUUCAAUAUGAACAUUGUUUGUAGGAAAAUAUUGGGCAGGAUGUGAAAUAAUAUUUUUUUAAUUAAAUAUACAGUUUUUUUUUUUUUUAGUUCAAAUAGAAAAAUGUAAAAAUACUGAGAUUAUACAUCGCCAUUCAGCCCAAAAAUAGAGAUGAUUUUUGGCCAUAUGGCAUGCUUUAAAUGCUGAAUUUUCCAUGUUUAAAUCCUGAAUUUUCCUGAAGUUUCCAAGCAGUAAUUAUACAUUAUUAUAUCACUUGUUAAAUGGUUAUUUAACAAUUAGCCUAUUCAUUCCUGCAUUUCUAAUUCUUUUUUUUUUGUGUGUGUGUGCCCCCCCAAAAAGAUUUAGCACCAGCUGCCACUGGAACAAAAGUCUUACAGGUUUGGAACGACAUGAGGGUGAGUAAUUAAUGACAGAAUUUGAAUUUUUGGGUGAACCCUUUAAGACAAUACAUUAAAAUAAUAUGGCAAGAAAUACCAGUUUGCAAUAUCAAGCAGCAUAACGAGCUGUUUUGUACAGCCAAAUUAACUGGAAGUGAAUGACACCAGAAGCCAGACACAUUAAAUUUACAAAUGGCCGUGCACACUCUUGAAAAAUAAGGUAGAUAUUAAAAGGAAUAAUCCACCUAUUUUCCCAGGGCUAUCUGUUUGUUAGACCAGUGGCAGAGGGAAGAGGUUUUUGUUUUGUUUUGUUGUUUUUUGUUUUUUUUCGCAAAAACUUCCAAAUAUAUUGACCUUAUGUAGCCCAGCCCCUUUUCAGCGCUGCGCUCAUUGUGUUCUGUCUUCCGGUUUGUAUUUCCACAGUAUGAAAGUAAGAUCUUAAGGAUUUAUGAAUGAACCGCUCAUUCUAAAAUCUUCUCAUUAUCCUGACUUUUGUUAUGACAUCCGCUUCAAAUAUUAAAAUGCUCAUGAUAACUUUCGUUAACUCUACAAUUAGCAAAUCGCUAAUUACUCUUCGACAGCGGUGCCAUAGAAAUAUACAGAGUUACUGCAAAAACGGAAGUUCAAAAACAAAAUUCUGAAGAUGGCUGCUCGCUUGUUUCUCUGGCGCAUAAGGUCUAUAGAGGGCUGCAGGGAUGAUGUAUUUUUGUAGGCCAAGACCCGGAACAGAAUUAGCAUUUUAGCAUUUGGGUUUUUUGAAUGUUUUUUUGGUUAAAUGCCUGAAAUAAGGUCUGUGGUGAACACAAGCUCAAGAUAUUUUCAUGUUUUAUUCUAUGACAUAAAAUACAUCAGUAAUACCCUCUUGUGAUUUUUUUAAAGCUUUUACUUUUCUUGAAGAAGGCGGUUGCUAAUGCUAACAAGUGGCUAAAAGGGACUACAGAGGUUCUCGGUGCAUUAAACAUCAUCCGCCGAACAGAUGGUACUUCUAAUCAUGGCCUUACCCAAGGAGGUACCUGAGGUCCGGAUGCCAAACAUGAAUUUCAGCAUGACACUUCAGUGUGUUAACAGUCAAUGUAACAGAUGUAUUAAAUAAGAGGAAGUGAAAAUGAUCAAGGGCUUCAGUCGUUCACAACUAUUAUAAGAAACAACAAGGCCGAACAUAUGAACGCGCAGCAAAAUGGCCAUUUCCAACAGUUUCCUUUCAAUGAAAUAAUCUGCUAUUGCAACAUGUCAGCUGAUAUUAUAGUCGUGCUCCAAUAUUAUAAUCAG